AAGUAAACAUGGAGGCUAACGGUGGAGCUUAGCUUACAUAUUUGAAGUUGUUGUCCAGCCAUAGCAGCAUAUUAACAACUUAAUCUUCAUUAUAGUCCAUCAUGGUUGUUUUUCUUUGCACU